rnacentral:rRNA from 1 species
UACGAAGGGUGCAAGCGUUACUCGGAAUUACUGGGCGUAAAGCGUGCGUAGGUGGUUCGUUAAGUCUGAUGUGAAAGCUCUGGGCUCAACCUGGGAAUGGCAUUGGAAACUGGCGACCUAGAGUGCGGUAGAGGGCAGUGGAAUUCCCGGUGUAGCAGUGAAAUGCGUAGAGAUCGGGAGGAACAUCUGUGGCGAAGGCGACUGCCUGGACCAGCACUGACACUGAGGCACGAAAGCGUGGGGAGCAAACAGG